GACGAACGCUGGCGGCAUGCCUAAUACAUGCAAGUCGAGCGGAGUUGAUGGAAAGCUUGCUUUCCUGAUACUUAGCGGCGGACGGGUGAGUAACACGUAGGCAACCUGCCCACAAGCUUGGGACAACUACCGGAAACGGUAGCUAAUACCGAAUACUUGUUUUCUUCGCCUGAAGAGAACUGGAAAGACGGAGCAAUCUGUCACUUGGGGAGGGGCCUGCGGCGCAUUAGCUAGUUGGUGAGGUAACGGCUCACCAAGGCGACGAUGCGUAGCCGACCGGAGAGGGUGAUCGGCCACACUGGGACUGAGACACGGCCCGGACUCCUACGGGGGGCAGCAGUAGGGAAUCUUCCGCAAUGGGCGAAAGCCUGACGGAGCAAUGCCGCGUGAGUGAUGAAGGUUUUCGGAUCGUAAAGCUCUGUUGCCAGGGAAGAACGCUUGGGAGAGUAACUGCUCCCAAGGUGACGGUACCUGAGAAGAAAGCCCCGGCUAACUACGUGCCAGCCGCCGCCGUAA
rnacentral:rRNA from 1 species